ACUGCUAUCGGAUUGAUACUAAGCCAUGCGAGUCUUUGUAGCAAUACAAGGCAGACGGCUCAGUAACACGUAGUCAAUCUACCCUAUGGACGGGGAUAACCUCGGGAAACUGAGAAUAAUACCCGAUAGAUCAUUAUACCUGGAAUGGUUUAUGGUCGAAAUGAUUUAUCGCCGUAGGAUGGGACUGCGGUCUAUCAGCUUGUUGGUGAGGUAAUGGCCCACCAAGGCUAUUACAGAUACGGGCUCUGAGAGGAGAAGCCCGGAGAUGGGUACUGAGACACGGACCCAGGCCCUAUGGGGCGCAGCAGGCGAGAAAACUUUGCAAUGUGCGAAAGCACGACAAGGUUAAUCCGAGUGUUUUCUGCUAAAGAAAUCUUUUGUCAGUCCUAAGAACACUGAUGAAUAAGGGGUGGGCAAGUUCUGGUGUCAGCCGCCGCGGUAAAACCAGCACCUCAAGUGGUCAGGAGGAUUAUUGGGCCUAAAGCAUCCGUAGCCGGCCGUGUAAGUUUUCGGUUAAAUCUAUACGCUCAACGUAUAGGCUGCCGGGAAUACUGCACAGCUAGGGAGUGGGAGAGGUAGACGGUACUCGGUAGGAAGGGGUAAAAUCCUUUGAUCUAUUGAUGACCACCUGUGGCGAAGGCGGUCUACUAGAACACGUCCGACGGUGAGGGAUGAAAGCUGGGGGAGCAAACCGGACUAGAUACCCGGGUAGUCCCAGCUGUAAACAAUGCAAACUCAGUGAUGCACUGGCUUGUGGCCAGUGCAGUGCCGCAGGGAAGCCGUUAAGUUUGCCGCCUGGGAAGUACGUACGCAAGUAUGAAACUUAAAGGAAUUGGCGGGGGAGCACCACAAGGGGUGAAG
rnacentral:rRNA from 1 species